CCUACGGGUGGCAGCAGUGGGGAAUAUUGGACAAUGGGCGAAAGCCUGAUCCAGCCAUGCCGCGUGUGUGAAGAAGGCCUUCGGGUUGUAAAGCACUUUCAGUGGGGAAGAAAGCCUUGGGGCUAAUACCCUCGAGGAAGGACAUCACCCACAGAAGAAGCACCGGCUAACUCCGUGCCAGCAGCCGCGGUAAUACGGAGGGUGCGAGCGUUAAUCGGAAUUACUGGGCGUAAAGCGCGCGUAGGCGGUCUGAUAAGCCGGUUGUGAAAGCCCCGGGCUCAACCUGGGAACGGCAUCCGGAACUGUCAGGCUAGAGUGCAGGAGAAGAAGGUAGAAUUCCCGGUGUAGCGGUGAAAUGCGUAGAGAUCGGGAGGAAUACCAGUGGCGAAGGCGGCCUUCUGGACUGACACUGACGCUGAGGUGCGAAAGCGUGGGUAGCAAACAGGAUUAGAUACCCCGGUAGUC
rnacentral:rRNA from 1 species